GCUCAGUUGGUUAAAAUACAUGGCUCUUAACCCUGUGGUCGUGGGUUCGAGCCCCACAGUGGGUG
rnacentral:tRNA from 1 species